rnacentral:rRNA from 1 species
AUACAGAGGGUGCAAGCGUUAAUCGGAAUUACUGGGCGUAAAGCGCGCGUAGGCGGUUUGUUAAGUCGGAUGUGAAAUCCCCGGGCUCAACCUGGGAACUGCAUUCGAAACUGGCGAGCUAGAGUAUGGUAGAGGAUAGUGGAAUUCCGGGUGUAGCGGUGAAAUGCGUAGAUAUCCGGAGGAACAUCAGUGGCGAAGGCGGCUAUCUGGACCAAUACUGACGCUGAGGUGCGAAAGCGUGGGGAGCAAACAGGAGUAGAUACCCUUGUAGUCC